rnacentral:rRNA from 1 species
UACGGAGGGUGCGAGCGUUGUCCGGAAUCAUUGGGCGUAAAGGGCGCGUAGGUGGCCUGCUAAGCGUGCGGUGAAAGCUCGGGGCUCAACCCCCGAGUCGGCCGUGCGAACUGUUUUUGCUGGAGCACUGUAGAGGCAGGCGGAAUUCCGGGUGUAGUGGUGGAAUGCGUAGAGAUCCGGAGGAACACCAGCGGCGAAGGCGGCAUCCUGGACUGGUCCUGACACUCAUGAGCGAAAGCGUGGGGGGAGCGAUCCGG